rnacentral:rRNA from 1 species
CGAACGCUGGCGGCGUGCCUAAUACAUGCAAGUAGAACGCUGAAGAGAGGAGCUUGCUCUUCUUGGAUGAGUUGCGAACGGGUGAGUAACGCGUAGGUAACCUGCCUUGUAGCGGGGGAUAACUAUUGGAAACGAUAGCUAAUACCGCAUAACAAUGGAUGACACAUGUCAUUUAUUUGAAAGGGGCAAUUGUUCCACUACAAGAUGGACCUGCGUUGUAUUAGCUAGUAGGUGAGGUAAUGGCUCACCUAGGCGACGAUACAUAGCCGACCUGAGAGGGUGAUCGGCCACACUGGGACUGAGACACGGCCCAGACUCCUACGGGAGGCAGCAGUAGGGAAUCUUCGGCAAUGGGGGCAACCCUGACCGAGCAACGCCGCGUGAGUGAAGAAGGUUUUCGGAUCGUAAAGCUCUGUUGUAAGUCAAGAACGGGUGUGAGAGUGGAAAGUUCACACUGUGACGGUAGCUUACCAGAAAGGGACGGCUAACUACGUGCCAGCAGCCGCGGUAAUACGUAGGUCCCGAGCGUUGUCCGGAUUUAUUGGGCGUAAAGCGAGCGCAGGCGGUUUGAUAAGUCUGAAGUUAAAGGCUGUGGCUCAACCAUAGUUCGCUUUGGAAACUGUCAAACUUGAGUGCAGAAGGGGAGAGUGGAAUUCCAUGUGUAGCGGUGAAAUGCGUAGAUAUAUGGAGGAACACCGGUGGCGAAAGCGGCUCUCUGGUCUGUAACUGACGCUGAGGCUCGAAAGCGUGGGGAGCGAACAGGAUUAGAUACCCUGGUAGUCCACGCCGUAAACGAUGAGUGCUAGGUGUUGGAUCCUUUCCGGGAUUCAGUGCCGCAGCUAACGCAUUAAGCACUCCGCCUGGGGAGUACGACCGCAAGGUUGAAACUCAAAGGAAUUGACGGGGGCCCGCACAAGCGGUGGAGCAUGUGGUUUAAUUCGAAGCAACGCGAAGAACCUUACCAGGUCUUGACAUCCCGAUGCUAUUUCUAGAGAUAGAAAGUUACUUCGGUACAUCGGUGACAGGUGGUGCAUGGUUGUCGUCAGCUCGUGUCGUGAGAUGUUGGGUUAAGUCCCGCAACGAGCGCAACCCCUAUUGUUAGUUGCCAUCAUUCAGUUGGGCACUCUAGCGAGACUGCCGGUAAUAAACCGGAGGAAGGUGGGGAUGACGUCAAAUCAUCAUGCCCCUUAUGACCUGGGCUACACACGUGCUACAAUGGUUGGUACAACGAGUUGCGAGUCGGUGACGGCGAGCUAAUCUCUUAAAGCCAAUCUCAGUUCGGAUUGUAGGCUGCAACUCGCCUACAUGAAGUCGGAAUCGCUAGUAAUCGCGGAUCAGCACGCCGCGGUGAAUACGUUCCCGGGCCUUGUACACACCGCCCGUCACACCACGAGAGUUUGUAACACCCGAAGUCGGUGAGGUAACCUUUUGGAGCCAGCCGCCUAAGGUGGGACAGAUGAUUGGGGUGAAGU